rnacentral:rRNA from 1 species
AUUGAACGCUGGCGGCAUGCUUUACACAUGCAAGUCGAACGGCAGCGGGGAGGAGCUUGCUUCUCUGCCGGCGAGUGGCGAACGGGUGAGUAAUACAUCGGAACGUGUCGAGAAGAGGGGGAUAACCACCCGAAAGGGUGGCUAAUACCGCAUAAAUUCUGAGGAAGAAAGCUGGGGACCUAGGAAUAGGCCUAGCGCUUUUUGAGCGGCCGAUGUCGGAUUAGCUAGUUGGUGAGGUAAAGGCCCACCAAGGCGAAGAUCUGUAGCGGGUCUGAGAGGAUGAUCCGCCACACUGGGACUGAGACACGGCCCAGACUCCUACGGGAGGCAGCAGUGGGAAUUUUGGACAAUGGGGGCAACCCUGAUCCAGCCAUGCCGCGUGUAUGAAGAAGGCCUUAGGGUUGUAAAGUACUUUUGUUAGGGAAGAAAAGUCAGCUGUGAAUAAUGGCUGAUACUGACGGUACCUAAAGAAUAAGCACCGGCUAACUACGUG